rnacentral:rRNA from 1 species
UACGUAGGGGGCAAGCGUUGUCCGGAAUCAUUGGGCGUAAAGCGCGUGUAGGCGGCUUGGUAAGUCUGCUCUGAAAGCCCGGGGCUCAACCCCGGGAGGCGGGUGGAUACUGUCAAGCUCGAGUCCGGAAGAGGAGUGUGGAAUUCCACGUGUAGCAGUGAAAUGCGUAGAGAUGUGGAGGAACACCGAUGGCGAAGGCAGCCCCCUGGGCUAACACUGACGCUCAUGCACGAAAGCGUGGGGAGCAAACAGG